rnacentral:rRNA from 1 species
UACGGAGGAUGCAAGCGUUAUCCGGAAUGAUUGGGCGUAAAGCGUCCGCAGGUGGCUGUGUAAGUCUGCUGUUAAAUAGUGAGGCUCAACCUCAUAAGAGCAGUGGAAACUACAUGGCUAGAGUGCGUUCGGGGCAGAGGGAAUUCCUGGUGUAGCGGUGAAAUGCGUAGAGAUCAGGAAGAACACCGGUGGCGAAAGCGCUCUGCUAGGCCGCAACUGACACUGAGGGACGAAAGCUAGGGGAGCGAAUGGG